rnacentral:rRNA from 1 species
AGUCGAACGAAAUCUUCGGAUUUAGUGGCGGACGGGUGAGUAACGCGUGAGAAUCUGGCUUUAGGUCUGGGACAACCACUGGAAACGGUGGCUAAUACCGGAUGUGCCCUUCGGGGUGAAAGAUUAAUUGCCUGAAGAUGAGCUCGCGUCUGAUUAGCUAGUUGGAAGUGUAAUGGACUCCCAAGGCGACGAUCAGUAGCUGGUCUGAGAGGACGAUCASCCACACUGGGACUGAGACACGGCCCAGACUCCUACGGGAGGCAGCAGUGGGGAAUUUUCCGCAAUGGGCGAAAGCCUGACGGAGCAAUACCGCGUGAGGGAGGAAGGCUCUUGGGUCGUAAACCUCUUUUCUCAGGGAAGAACACAAUGACGGUACCUGAGGAAUAAGCAUCGGCUAACUCCGUGCCAGCAGCCGCGGUAAUACGGARGAUGCAAGCGUUAUCCGGAAUGAUUGGGCGUAAAGCGUCCGCAGGUGGCAAUGUAAGUCUGCUGUUAAAGAGUCUAGCUCAACUAGAUAAAAGCAGUGGAAACUACAUAGCUAGAGUACGUUCGGGGCAGAGGGAAUUCCUGGUGUAGCGGUGAAAUGCGUAGAGAUCAGGAAGAACACCAGUGGCGAAGGCGCUCUGCUAGGCCGUAACUGACACUGAGGGACGAAAGCUAGGGGAGCGAAUGGGAUUARAUACCCCAGUAGUCCUAGCCGUAAACGAUGGAUACUAGGCGUGGCUUGUAUCGACCCGAGCCGUGCCGUAGCUAACGCGUUAAGUAUCCCGCCUGGGGAGUACGCCGGCAACGGUGAAACUCAAAGGAAUUGACGGGGGCCCGCACMAGCGGUGGAGUAUGUGGUUUAAUUCGAUGCAACGCGAAGAACCUUACCAAGGCUUGACAUGUCGCGAAUCCUGGUGAAAGCCGGGAGUGCCUU